rnacentral:rRNA from 1 species
UAAUACGAAGAGACCUAGCGUAGUUCGGAAUUACUGGGCUUAAAGAGCACGUAGGUGGUUAAGAAAGUUGGUGGUGAAAUCCCAAGGCUUAACCUUGGAACUGCCACUAAAACUUUUUAACUAAAGUAUGAUUGAGGUAAGCGGAAUUUCUAGUGUAGAGGUGAAAUUCGUAGAUAUUAGAAAGAACACCAAUUGCGAAGGCAGCUUUCUGAUCAUUACUGACACUGAGGUGCGAAAGCAUGGGUAGCGAAGAGGAUUAGAUACCCUCGUAGUCCAUGCCGUAAACGAUGUGUGCUAGACGUUGGGAAUUUAUUUUUCAGUGUCACAGCAAAAGCGUUAAGCACACCGCCUGGGGAGUACGACCGCAAGGUUA